rnacentral:rRNA from 1 species
UACGUAGGGUGCGAGCGUUGUCCGGAAUUAUUGGGCGUAAAGAGCUUGUAGGCGGUUUGUCGCGUCUGCUGUGAAAAUCCGGGGCUCAACCCCGGACUUGCAGUGGGUACGGGCAGACUAGAGUGUGGUAGGGGAGACUGGAAUUCCUGGUGUAGCGGUGAAAUGCGCAGAUAUCAGGAGGAACACCGAUGGCGAAGGCAGGUCUCUGGGCCGACAUACUGCGCUGAGAAGCGAAAGCAUGGGGAGCGAACAGG